CUUUAACCUUUCCUGGUAAGUUUUAUCCCGCAAUCCAUGAACCAGUUUAGUAGCCCUUCUCUGAACCCUCUCUAAGGUAUCAAUAUCCUUCUGAAGAUACGGUCUCCAGUACUGUGUACAAUACUCCAAGUGAGGUCUCACCAGUGUUCUGUAUAAUGGCAUGAGCACUUCCCUCUUUCUACUGCUAAUAACUCUCCCUAUACAACCAAGCAUUCCGUUUGGUUGUGUAUAGUAUAUACUUAAAAUGAUGUAUAGUGAUUAUAAC